CAGAAAAGUCUAUAAGGAGAAGGCAAAAGAACUAUCCUAAAUAAUUACUCAGAAUUUCGUAGACUAGUGGAGUAUCAAGAAUCAUAGAUAGAGAAGCAAGAGUAAGAUUAUUAUAAGGGUCGGCGGCUGACGCGUUUUGACAACUUUCUCCUCUCAUCAUUUUUGCAUGUAGAUAAAUGUAAAGUAUAUAGAGUGGUGAGAGGGUCUCACUACUGUUUAGAAUGUUUAGAAACAUUUACUUGAUAAAAUGUUGAUUUUUGAAAUGAUAUAAUAUGCGUGUUUUAGGUACU